UGUGCGGCGUCUUUAACUAUGCCAUAAUCGAUAGAUUGAUAGGUGAUGUCUGCUAAUUGAUUUCCCGCGAAAGAGACGCAAUUCCUCGCGCCCGAGACGCUGGGACAAGUGUGCAAACCCGAGGUGUUAAACGCUUACUGACUUUGGUGAUUUUCAGACCAACACGAUGGGAAUUCAUGGACUUGCCAAGCUGAUUGCGGACCAGGCCCCUGGUGCCAUCAAAGAGCAAGACAUCAAGAACUACUUUGGCCGUAAAAUUGCUAUAGAUGCCUCCAUGUGUAUCUACCAGUUCCUGAUUGCAGUGCGACAGGACGGUAACGUCCUGCAGAAUGAGGAUGGCGAGACGACAAGCCACCUGAUGGGAAUGUUCUACCGGACGAUCCGCAUGCUGGAAUAUGGCAUCAAACCCGUGUACGUCUUUGACGGCAAGCCCCCACAGCUCAAGUCAGCAGAGCUGGAGAAGAGAGGGGAGAGGAGGGCAGAAGCCGAGAAGAUGCUUGCUCAAGCUCAGGAACUGGGGGAACAAGAGAAUAUUGACAAAUUCUCCAAGCGUCUGGUAAAAGUCACCAGACAGCACAACGAUGAGUGCAAGAAGCUGCUGACCCUGAUGGGAGUUCCCUACAUUGAGGCUCCAUGUGAGGCGGAGGCCAGCUGUGCCGCUCUGGUUAAAGCCGGGAAGGUGUUCGCCACAGCAACAGAGGACAUGGAUGGACUGACCUUUGGGACAAAUGUCCUGCUCAGACACCUCACCGCCAGCGAAGCAAAGAAACUUCCCAUCCAAGAGUUCCACUUCAGUCGCAUCCUGCAGGACAUCGGCCUGACCAAUGAACAGUUCAUAGACCUGUGUAUUCUGCUGGGCUGCGACUACUGUGGCACCAUCAAGGGAAUUGGCCCCAAGAGAGCCAUCGACCUGAUCAAACAACAUGGCAGCAUUGAGGAGAUCCUAGAAAACAUUGACUCCAAAAAGCACCCUGCUCCAGAGGACUGGCUCUACAAAGAGGCCAGGGGUUUGUUUCUGAAUUCAGAAGUGGUGGAUUGCUCCACAGUGGAGUUGAAGUGGAGCGAGCCGGAUGAGGACGCUCUGAUCCAGUUCAUGUGCAACGAGAAACAGUUCAGUGAGGACAGGAUGCGCAACGGCUGUAAGAAGAUUUUGAAGAGCCGACAGGGCAGCACACAGGGACGACUGGACUCUUUCUUCUCUAUCACUGGAUCUCUGUCCUCCAAACGCAAGGAACCUGAGCUCAAAGGAUCAGCAAAAAAGAAGCAGAAGACAGGAGCCACGCCAGGCAAAUUUAAGAAGGGGAAAUAGAUGCUACCUUGUUUGUUUUGGGGAAGUAACUAUUAGACAUGAGGAACACCUAUUGAAUAUAGAAAUGAACAUAGAGCUCCAGGCCGCAGCCAGUACUCCUGUACGAAACACACACACACAGAAUCAACUGAACUGGUCCACAGCCGCACGCAGAAUGAAGACAAACACCACUAUGUGUAUAAGCAACAGCAUCAUUUAAAUAGGAUGGACCAUAAAGAAGAAUUAAAUAAUGUAUAAAAGGGAAAUAAGAGCGUGUCUUUAUGUAAGCCUUGACUCCUAUGUUUCCAUGAGCUUCAUAUGGUUCAAAUAUUUCUAAGUCUCAACACAGACAACUGAAAAUAAGUCGUAUUUAUAACGUUCCCCUACAGAGAAUAUGGUUUAAUAUGUGGGCUGUUCAUACAGUGCAAACAGUCUGUACUGAAAUGACAAAUCAAGAGUUAUUGAUAUAUAUAUAUAAAUCCACAUGAGUAGGAAUCCAGUUAAUAGUGCAUUAUUAAUGAUCCUCAGGAGGACAUCACAUUCACUGCAGCACAACUAAAAUGCAAUGUACAUGCUAUUCAUCGAGGCAGAUACUUGUUUGUGAACUUUCCCACAUGUUUAGUUGGUGUUGACACUCUGAAUGUGAUGAGAAACCUUUGUUUUAGCUGUGUGGCUUAUCAACCAGACUAAUAACGGGAAGUGGUGGAGGGUGAGGCAUGUGCAACGCCCUCAAUAAAUGAUUGUUUUUUACUAAAAAAAGAUGUUCACUAAAACAGAUGUGUGUUGUAUCUGGAAAUAAAA